rnacentral:sRNA from 10 species
CACACGCGGGCAAUGCGGCCUUCGGGGAGACAUCCCGACAGUCGCUCCGGUGUCUGAAAUCUCAGGUUUUCCGCCAAGUUAUGGCGUUUUUCUGAGACCAGAUGACAGGCCCGCGGUGGACCAACCGGAGAAGAUCUUAU